rnacentral:rRNA from 1 species
AGCUCCAAUAGCGUAUAUUAAAGUUGUUGCAGUUAAAAAGCUCGUAGUCGAAUUUCAGGGCGGGGCGCACGGUCUGCCGAUGGGUAUGCACUGUGCGGCCCGCCUUUCCUGCUGGGGUCCGCGUGUGCACUUAACUGUGCGUGCGCGGGGAACAGCGCGUUUACUUUGAGAAAAUCAGAGUGUUCAAAGCAGGCCAAGAUUGCUCUUGCAUGGAUUAGCAUGGGAUAAUGAAAUAGGACUUUGGUGCUUAUUUUGUU